GACGAACGCUGGCGGCGUGCCUAAUACAUGCAAGUCGAACGAGUGGCGGACGGGUGAGUAAUGUCUGGGAAACUGCCCGAUGGAGGGGGAUAACUACUGGAAACGGUAGCUAAUACCGCAUACCAUCGGAUGUGCCCAGAUGGGAUGAGCUUGUAGGUGAGGUAACGGCUCACCUAGGCGACGAUCGCUAGCUGGUCUGAGAGGAUGACCAGCCACACUGGAACGGAGACACGGUCCAGACUCCUAAGAGAGGCAGCAGUGGGGAAUAUUGCACAAUGGGCGCAAGCCUGAAACAGCCAUGCCGCGUGUAUGAAGAAGGCCUUCGGGUUGUAAAGGACGUUCAGCGGGGAGGCGUUACCCGCAGAAGAAGCACCGGCUAACUCCGUGCCAGCAGCCGCGGUAAUAC
rnacentral:rRNA from 1 species